rnacentral:tRNA from 1 species
GGGCGAUUGGCUCAGUUGGUUAGAGCGCCGCACUCACAUUGCGGAGGUCACUGGUUCAAAUCCAGUAUCGCCCACUA